UCCGAUAUGGUGUAACGGCUAACAUCGCCGCCUUUCAUUAAAUUGAAAGCAUUGAGCGCGGCAGCUCGGGGUUCGAUUCCCCGUAUCGGAG